rnacentral:siRNA from 1 species
UCAAUUUCAGCAGCCGAAUUU